rnacentral:rRNA from 1 species
AGCGGCGGAUGGGUGAGUAACACGUGGGGAACCUGCCCCUAAGUCUGGGAUACCAUUUGGAAACAGGUGCUAAUACCGGAUAAUAAAGCAGAUCGCAUGAUCAGCUUUUGAAAGGCGGCGUAAGCUGUCGCUAAGGGAUGGCCCCGCGGUGCAUUAGCUAGUUGGUAAGGUAACGGCUUACCAAGGCGACGAUGCAUAGCCGAGUUGAGAGACUGAUCGGCCACAUUGGGACUGAGACACGGCCCAAACUCCUACGGGAGGCAGCAGUAGGGAAUCUUCCACAAUGGACGCAAGUCUGAUGGAGCAACGCCGCGUGAGUGAAGAAGGUUUUCGGAUCGUAAAGCUCUGUUGUUGGUGAAGAAGGAUAGAGGUAGUAACUGGCCUUUAUUUGACGGUAAUCAACCAGAAAGUCACGGCUAACUACGUGCCAGCAGCCGCGGUAAUACGUAGGUGGCAAGCGUUGUCCGGAUUUAUUGGCGUAAAGCGAGCGCAGGCGGAAAGAUAAGUCUAAUGUGAAAGCCCUCGGCUUAACCGAGGAACUGCAUCGGAAACUGUUCUUUUUGAGUGCAGAAGAGGAGAGUGGAACUCCAUGUGUAGCGGUGGAAUGCGUAGAUAUAUGGAAGAACACCAGUGGCGAAGGCGGCUCUCUGGUCUGCAACUGACGCUGAGGCUCGAAAGCAUGGGUAGCGAACAGGAUUAGAUACCCUGGUAGUCCAUGCCGUAACGAUGAGUGCUAAGUGU